GACGUAGGGCGCGAGCGUUGUCCGGAUUUAUUGGGCGUAAAGAGCUUGUAGGCGGUUUGUCGCGUCUGCCGUGAAAAUUCGAGGCUCAACCUCGAACUUGCGGUGGGUACGGGCAGACUAGAGUGUGGUAGGGGAGACUGGAAUUCCUGGUGUAGCGGUGAAAUGCGCAGAUAUCAGGAGGAACACCGAUGGCGAAGGCAGGUCUCUGGGCCACUACUGACGCUGAGAAGCGAAAGCAUGGGGAGCGAACAGG
rnacentral:rRNA from 1 species